CCUCUCUCUCUUCCUCUCUUAGUUGCAAAAAAAAAAGCUCUGCAGCUGGGCUGCACCUCAAUGAACCUAAUUGGUGCACUGUGAGCGACCAUCAUCUAUCCACUGGAUUUCCAUCGCGGCCGGCUUCCAUCCAGAACAUAUGAAUUUGCUUAGACAGACCCUUUUAAGGAGUUGAACAGAUAGGUCGGAGAAAAUGGCACAACGCGUGGUUUUGUUUCUACUGUGGCUCUUUGACAGAUCAUACGCAGGAUUUCCCAAUCAGAUCAAUAUUGGUGGGCUGUUCAUGCGUUCCACGGUGCAGGAGCACAGCGCGUUCAGGUUCGCUGUCCAACUCUACAACACCAACCAAAACACCACUGAAAAGCCUUUCCACCUCAACUACAAUGUCGACAACCUCGAGUCGUCCAACAGCUUUUCAGUCACCCAUGCGUUUUGCUCCCAGUUCUCCCGCGGAGUGUACGCCAUCUUUGGAUUCUACGACAAGAAGUCCAUGAACACCUUGACCUCGUUCUGCGGAGCCCUGCACACCUCCUUUGUCACACCCAGUUACCCCACCGAUAAUGAGGUGCAGUUUGUCAUCCAGAUGCGCCCCGCCCUCCGGGGGGCUGUCCUCAGCCUGCUAUCUCACUACAAGUGGCAGAAGUUUGUCUACCUCUACGACACUGACCGAGGUUUCUCUAUACUGCAGGCCAUCAUGGAGGCAGCAGUAGCUAACAACUGGCAGGUGACCGCCCGCUCUGUUAGCAGCACAACCGAUGCAGCAGAGUUCAAGCGCAUCAUCGAGGAGAUGGACAGGAGGCAGGAGAAGCGCUUUGUGAUUGACUGCGAGGUGGACAGGAUCAACACCAUAUUAGAACAGGUUGUGACCCUGGGGAAGAACAGCCGUGGUUACCACUACAUCCUGGCCAAUCUGGGAUUUACUAACGUGAGCUUGGACAAAGUCUUCGCCGGUGGAGCCAACAUUUCAGGGUUUCAGAUAGUCAACCCUGAGAACCCGAUUGUACAGCAGUUUAUGCAGCGCUGGGAGCGGCUAGAUGAAAGAGAAUUCCCAGAAGCCCGAAACACGCCUCUGAAGUAUACUUCAGCUCUGACCCAUGAUGCCAUUCUGGUGAUCGCAGAGGCCUUCAGGUACCUGCGGCGCCAACGUGUGGAUGUCUCUCGUCGGGGCAGCGCUGGAGACUGCCUAGCCAAUCCCGCUGUACCUUGGAGCCAAGGCAUCGACAUCGAGAGAGCUCUUAAAACGGUUCAAGUGAACGGUAUGACUGGGAACAUCCAGUUUGACAACUACGGCCGCAGAACCAACUACACCAUUGAUGUUUAUGAGAUGAAAACAGGUGGGCCGAGUAAGAUUGGGUACUGGAACGAGUACGCACGAUUUGUAAAUAUUAUGGACCCGCAGGUCUCCAACGACUCCUCAGUGGAAAAUCGAACGAUUGUGGUCACUACUAUUAUGGAAGCUCCUUAUGUGAUGUACAAGAAAAAUUAUAUGCAUCUGGAUGGGAAUGACAGAUAUGAAGGCUACUGCGUCGAUUUAGCAUCUGAGAUUGCCAAACAUGUUGGAAUUAAGUACAAACUGUCUAUAGUAAUGGAUGGGAAGUACGGAGCCCGAGACCCCGAGACCAAGACGUGGAACGGGAUGGUGGGUGAACUGGUCUAUGGGAGAGCAGAUAUAGCUGUUGCACCUCUUACCAUAACUCUGGUUCGAGAGGAGGUGAUAGACUUUUCCAAGCCCUUUAUGAGCUUGGGCAUCUCCAUUAUGAUAAAGAAGCCACAAAAGUCAAAGCCUGGCGUUUUCUCCUUCCUGGACCCGCUGGCCUAUGAGAUCUGGAUGUGUAUAGUGUUUGCCUAUAUUGGGGUGAGCGUGGUCCUGUUCCUGGUCAGUCGGUUCAGUCCUUAUGAGUGGAACCUGGAUGAACAGGACGAGACCAAAGACCCCCAGACGCCCCCCGACCCUCCUAACGACUUUGGCAUCUUCAAUUCCCUCUGGUUCUCACUGGGCGCCUUCAUGCAGCAGGGCUGUGACAUCUCCCCCAGGUCUCUUUCGGGCCGCAUCGUCGGCGGUGUGUGGUGGUUCUUCACCCUCAUCAUCAUCUCCUCCUACACAGCCAACCUGGCUGCCUUCUUGACAGUGGAGAGGAUGGUCUCUCCCAUAGAAAGUGCCGAAGAUUUAGCCAAGCAGACAGAGAUAGCAUACGGCACUCUGGACUCAGGCUCCACAAAGGAGUUUUUUAGGCGAUCCAAAAUAGCAGUAUAUGAGAAGAUGUGGUCAUACAUGAAAUCCGCUGAACCCUCAGUGUUUGUUAAGACCACACCCGAUGGCGUAGCCCGGGUACGAAAGUCAAAGGGCAAGUUCGCCUUUCUCCUCGAGUCCACCAUGAACGAGUACAUCGAGCAGCGGAAGCCCUGCGACACCAUGAAAGUGGGCGGGAACCUCGACUCGAAAGGAUACGGUGUGGCGACGCCCAAAGGCUCAGCAUUAAGAAAUGCUGUUAACCUGGCAGUUUUAAAACUGAAUGAGCAAGGCCUCUUGGACAAAUUGAAAAACAAAUGGUGGUACGACAAGGGAGAGUGCGGCAGCGGGGGAGGUGACUCCAAGAACUCCUGUAAACCUUGCAGUAUUGAAACUCAGUGAACAAGGCAUCUUAGACAAGCUGAAAAACAAAUGGUGGUACGAUAAGGGUGAAUGUGGAACCAAGGACUCUGGAAGUAAGGUCAGUCGAUGCAGGUCUUUUGUACUGAUUCCAAAUUGCAUUUUGACGUAUUGUUCAUAUGCAAGACAAGACUUCUCUGACAUCUAUAGUAUACAUUUUGUUUAUUUGCUACACAUAAUUUAUCUUUUUUUUUAGUAUUUGACUUUUUCUGCCACAAACUGUAACACAGUUUUAACACCGUGGCUUUAACACAAGGCACUGCUUUCCCAAUUAUUAUUUUUUCUGUCAUUGCCAUGGAAAUGAGCCAUUUUUUGCAAUAUAAAAUUAACUAUUUUUUGUGAAAACUGUAAUGAAAAUAAUGCGGGGAAAGUGCCUUACACAUAGACUAUUUCAAUUGAAUCACAGCAGUUAAUAGUUGUUGAUAAAAUGCUAUUUUUGCUCAUUUUCACUCUUUACAUUCAUGAUACUUUGACCAUUAUGCUGCUGUUCCUAUUUACCAAACUGUUAAUGAAAAUUUGAUUUAUUUGUGUUGUUACUAGUUUGCAUCGAGAUGUGUCUAUUAGAUUCUUUGGCCUCCUGUGGUGUGAUGAACAAGCAUAGCCUCUUAUUGAGAUGAGUUACUCAAAUUCAACUUCUCUAAGCGGAGAGAGCACUGUAGGGUGUCCUCGAAAUCUUGUGGCUGCUCGGAGUUGAGGUUAGAGGCUCUGUUUGCACAUUACAAGAAGGUGGAGAAUGUAAUAAACCCACUAUUUAACCCUCUGAGAUACAGUCAGAACCUCAGAUUAUAGGUUAGAGUCGCUGGAUAUCUCCACGCUCAUAGGGUUAAACUGCAAAUAGUAAAACUCUAAUGAACAAAUUUUAAAGAAUAUGUUUGGUAGGUAAGCAGCAGCAAAAUGGUUUGAUCUUUAGUGGGGGUUUUUUAACUUUAAUGGAGCUAUCAUUCAUCUAAUAUGAAAUUGACUGUACUGUAUGACAAUGUUCCCAUGAGAGUUAUACGUACAUGUCGCCAAGAAUAUUAAAAAAAAAAGAUAGGGAUUUUCAGAGCUGUCGACCUAUGC